CGGCAACAGCUCAAAUUUGAAAUCUGGCUCUUUCAGAGUCCGAGUUGUAAUUUGUAGAGGAUGCUUCGGCGUCGCUCCGGUCUAAGUUCCUUGGAACAGGACGUCAUAGAGGGUGAGAAUCCCGUCUGUGGCCGGUAGCUUAGCCAUGUGAAGCUCCUUCGAC
rnacentral:rRNA from 1 species